AUGCUCACUUCAGCAGCACAUAUAUUAAAAUUGGCAUGAUACAAGGAAGAUUAGCAAGGGCUCUGCACAAGGAUGACACACAAAUGCAUGAAGCAUAAAUACAAUCA